UACGUAGGGGGCAAGCGUUGUCCGGAAUUAUUGGGCGUAAAGAGCGUGUAGGCGGUCCGGUAAGUCAGCUGUGAAAGUCAAGGGCUCAACCCUUGAAAGCCGGUUGAUACUGUCGGGCUAGAGUCCGGAGGAGGCGAGUGGAAUUCCCGGUGUAGUGGUGAAAUGCGUAGAUAUCGGGAGGAACACCAGUGGCGAAGGCGACUACCUGGCCUGUUUCUUGACGCUGAGGCGCGAAAGCUAGGGGAGCAAACGGG
rnacentral:rRNA from 1 species